rnacentral:rRNA from 1 species
UACGUAGGGUGCGAGCGUUAAUCGGAAUACUGGGCGUAAAGCGUGCGCAGGCGGUGAUGUAAGACCGAUGUGAAAGCCCCGGGCUCAACCUGGGAAUUGCGAUGGAGACUGCAAGGCUUGAAUCUGGCAGAGGGGGGUAGAAUUCCACGUGUAGCAGUGAAAUGCGUAGAGAUGUGGAGGAACACCGAUGGCGAAGGCAGCCCCCUGGGUCAAGAUUGACGCUCAUGCACGAAAGCGUGGGGAGCAAACAGG